rnacentral:rRNA from 1 species
AACGAACGCUGGCGGCAUGCCUAACACAUGCAAGUCGAACGAGACCUUCGGGUCUAGCGGCGCACGGGUGCGUAACGCGUGGGAACCUGCCCUUAGGUUCGGAAUAACUCCCCGAAAGGGGUGCUAAUACCGGAUAAUGUCUUCGGACCAAAGAUUUAUCGCCUUUGGAUGGGCCCGCGUUGGAUUAGCUAGUUGGUAGGGUAAAAGCCUACCAAGGCGACGAUCCAUAGCUGGUCUGGGAGGAUGAUCAGCCACACUGGGACUGAGACACGGCCCAGACUCCUACGGGAGGCAGCAGUGGGGAAUAUUGGACAAUGGGCGAAAGCCUGAUCCAGCAAUGCCGGGUGAGUGAUGAAGGCCUUAGGGUUGUAAAGCUCUUUUACCCGGGAUGAUAAUGACGGUACCGGGAGAAUAAGCUCCGGCUAACUCCGUG